CGGAUACAUAAAUCUCCGUACGCACACACACACACACACGUGCACACGCUGGCACAACUUGAUACGCGCAGCUCAACAAGUACUGUGAGUAAGUAUUGUCCCUCUGUCGAGAACUUCAAUCUGUCAGGGUAGCGCUUUCCCUCUCUCCCUCUCUCUCGAUUUCCUGUGCCCAUUCCACAAACCUCUACAAGCCUUCACGUAAGGCACACAAGCCCUCCCCCUCCCCCCUCCCACACACACACAGCAGCAUCAGCAGCACAUACACCUCUUUGGCAGUCAUGCCGCUCCCACCCGUCGAGUCUGGACCGGCAGCCAUGACGCGCCGCAACUUCCUCGUUGAGAUGAACCGCCUCCGCGUGUCGCAGUACAUGCCGACGAGGAAGCAGCUUGAGGAAGAGGACCUGCGCAUCGCCACGAUCCGCCAAGAGGAGAAGCGUGCGAAGCAUGCAGAAUGGGCUGAGUCGCGCAGGAAGGCUGCUGACAGCUACAACGCCGCCGGUACCAACUCUGGCCGCCCGCUUCCUGGCAGUGUUUCGCGUUCGAUGCGUGCCUCUGGCAAAGGCCAGCCAGCGGAGAACACCUACAAACUGGAGAAGGAGGAGGAAGCUGCGAAGAAGCGUGAAUACAACCGCCUGUACGAGCAGGAAGCGAAGCACCAGCUGGCGAUACGCCAAGCGACUUUGAAGCAGAUGCACGACGAUGAAGUCCGCCAGAUGGAGGCACUGCGGAAGGUGAACGAGGAGGAGGACCGCAAGGUGGCCGAGGCGCACGCCCAGGCGAUGGAGGAGGAGCGCCAGUACAUGGAGCGCCUCAAGCAGUCGAACAAGCGUGAGCUGGCGGCCAGGAAGGCGGAGCAGCAGGCAAAGGAAGCGCGUGACCGGCAGCUGCAGGAACUCGUAAACGAGAACAAUCGCCACCGCGCAGAGAUGGACGAGCGCCGGCUAAAGAACGUCACACGCAUGCUCCAUUUGCAGAAUGAGCAGUUCCACAGGGAAGCAAUGCUGAACAAGAAGGCCUCCGAAGCAAAACACUACGAGGAGGUAGCCGCAAUCGAGGAGCGCAACCGGCUUCUCACCAAGGAGGAGCAGGAGGCAGCGCAGCGCAAGAAGGAGCAGUUCCGCCAGGAAUUUGAGGACUGCAUCGCCCGCGAUAAGGAAUUCCGCCGUACGCACAAUUACGACGAGCCUAUGGAGGUGACGCGCCAGCGUAACGAGUUGGCGGCCCAGUCCUACCGCCUCGUGCUUGAGGAAGAGCGGCUGCAGAACGCGGAGCGCCGCCAGCAGUACCGCAAGGAUCUGAUGGAUCAGAUCAUGGCGAAGCAGACCUACCGCAUGACGCACCUGGACGAAGCUGGUAUUUAGACGCGACUCGGUGUGCCAACGGAGAAAAAGGCGGUGUGCCGCUGCAUCAGUGGGCGUUUUCUGUUUACCCAUUGGUGUUGCUGAAACGUUGCGCCGCCGUAGCCCCUACGUGACGAGACGCCGACUGAGACACGCGCCGUGACCACCGCACCCGCACGGCACGGCGGCUCGCGAGAAGUACCGUGCCGGAUGGGUGCGGUGCCGCUGCCGGAAUGUGGCAUGUUGCGCCGGCGCUCUCAACCCCCCUCUUUCCUUCUUCACGGUUCGUCGGACCUUUCUCUCUGUCCUCGUUGCGAUUCGUGAGACCCUUUGCCACGCUAUUGAAUGACACGCAUGCGCCAUGCUACCGUACCCCUGUGCGUGAACGCAGCCCUUCCUUCUCAUCGUGCGCUCUCUCCCUUUCUCUCUCGCUAGCCACGCCUUACUCAUACAUGCAGGGACGCUUGCUCUCUUCAUGUACAUUUUCUAACGAGGGAGAAGGCCAAACAUGCCAGCGUUUCCUCUUCUCUCCUCCGAGCUGAGCCUGCGCCUGUCUCUGUGUCUGUCUGUGUGUGUGCGCGUCUACGUGUGCCAGCCUUCUUCCUUGACUGAUUCGUCCCCGCCCGGAGACCACCUUCCUUUCGCUGUGGUGUCGGCACCUCUUUAUACAUCUCCCUUCCGUCUCCGCUUCCCUUCAGAUGCGGCCGAUGCUUUUUUUCUUGCUUGUUUUUUUCCUCUGCGUCCUCUUGUUUCUUUGUUGUGAACGUGUUUCCGUGCGUGUGUGUGUGUGUGUGUGCUUGCGCGUCCAGGCGAGACUGUAUCUCUCUUCCCUUCCCCUGUUGUCAUGUACAUGUAUAGCAUCACCUUGUCUUCGGCAGUAAAACCAACCGAUGACAAC
rnacentral:misc_RNA from 1 species